ACGGCUACCUUGUUACGACUUCACCCCAGUCACCAAUCCCACCUUCGGCAGCCCCCUCCCUUGCGGGUUAGAGUACUGACUUCGGGUGUUACCGGCUUCCAUGGUGUGACGGGCGGUGUGUACAAGGCCCGGGAACGUAUUCACCGCGGCAUGCUGAUCCGCGAUUACUAGCAAUUCCGACUUCAUGCAGGCGAGUUGCAGCCUGCAAUCUGAACUGAGACCGUUUUUUGGGAUUUGCUCCGUGUCGCCACCUUGCUUCCCUCUGUUCGACGGCCAUUGUAGUACGUGUGUAGCCCAGGUCAUAAAGGGCAUGAUGAUUUGACGUCAUCCCCACCUUCCUCCACCUUGUCGGUAGCGGUCCCGAUACACCGCUCUUGCGUAGCAACUAUCGGCAGGGGUUGCGCUCGUUGCGGGACUUAACC
rnacentral:rRNA from 1 species